UGGGCUGGCCCAAUCACAUCCCCUGGGCUGACCCAACACCAACCCCUUUCGAUUUGGACCUGCCUACAUAAUGCAUUAGGACGGUAAACAAACUCAGCGUGGCCCAUGGCCUUGACAUUCUUGACACGCGCACGCUAGUCUGCGGCCCAUUGGCUGUCUUCUGUACUGACUAGGGGCUCGUCCAAUCAUAUCACAAAACACCUUCUACCUUUAGCUUGGUCGGUGCACAGAAACGCACGUUUCGUGAGUUCCUCCAGUCCAAAAUGGAGAGAAAGAGAAAAGGGGGUGCAGAGAAACUGCGAGACAAGAAGAGGCUUGCUCUUCAAGCCAAUGCUGCCAAAUGUGGCAAAAUAUCAGAAAUGUUUGCCACGGCAGGGCCAUCCUCAGCUCCCGUGGAUGACAGUGAUGCUGGUGGCGAUACGAUACAACGACCUACGGUACACACCCAGUCGGAUGAACUCUACCCAUUACUGUGAUGGACGUGGAGUAUACUUUUUUUGUUAAUAAAUAACACCUUUUGGAAGUGUAUAAUGCGUCCACUCUCACUGAUUGAUUUUAACUCAUUGCAUGGCUUAAGGUAUGUGGAAAAUAGUUGCACAGUUGGAGUCAGGCUUUUAGCUAGGAUUUUUUGUGCAGCACUUGAUAGUUUUUAGGUAAUAUUACAAUUACACUGAUUUAUUUAUAUGUUUAGUAAUUUAAUACAUAAUAACAGUGAGUGUAACUGAAACUAGGCAACAAGGUACAAAAUUCAAGUAACAACUUUAACAAAAAGAAACAACUUUCUACACAACUUUAAAGUGUAUGAUGUAUAUUGUAUUGUAUUGAAUUUAGAUUAACUAAGACCACCACCUUAACACACAAACUCUUGUUGAACUCAUAAAGUAGUAGGUUCAGUGACGUGCGGUGAGACAGCUGUCUUCUGUAGCUUCUGCGAGCCCGUGAAUCAAUGUUUCGUUGGAAUCAUGAUGUAACGUUGUUGUAGCGGGAAUACAGCAAUGCUAUUUUCUAAUUGGCAGGGCAUAUGUAUGAUUCUAGACUUCGCUAGGGCACUGAAGCGACUGAAUUUCCCAUUUCUUCUUAUUUUUUAGUAGACUAUAGAGCAGACGCCCUGCUAGCUAAAAGCCUGGUUGGUGUAGACAUUCGAGAGACCAAAAAGACUGAAAAGGUGUGUUAUCGAAUUUAGUGGGCCGGUCUGGUUCAAAAUGCCCGGGCCGAUUUUUUUGUCCCAGUCCGCCCCUGCCAACGUCUGUAACGUUACGGUCUGAAAACCAGGGUCCACAACCUGUGUUCGCGUUGGUCCAUUUAUCUAACGUUACAGAAUAGCAAAUUAUCCAUAUAAUCGCCACAAUUUCGGUAAAUAUAACCAUUUUAACCUCUUAAAUUUGAAACUAUAGGGCUUCACGGGUGUUCAUAGUUAACGUUACAGCGUCACUAACUGUAACGUUACCUUACUUAUAUUGCCUAUUACUUUAAUGAAAAAAGUUUUAAGGGCCCUUGUUUUUUUUAACAUUUGUAUCGUUAAAUACUCGAGUGACUAGAAACCAAAUACUUACAUUUAAAUGCAGAACUUAAAUCGCCAUUCUCCGCCAUCUCCAUUGAUUGAGGCUGUUUCCCAAUGUCAAGGAAGCAUGCUCAACGGCCGCCCUUUUAAGGACGCUACGUCAUCGAACGCCGACAAGCACUUUUCCAAUGUUGAGGACACUCGAAAUACGCCCCCUUUUCGGGUCCUUCGUUUUUGAGAAUUCCGAGAUUUUUCAAGGAUGCAUCGCUGCAUCCUAGACGAGCCAAAACUACCCACAAUCCUCUGCGUUCACUGGGCGGGUUCUUGAAAAUGGCAGAAGUACACGUUCAAACGAAGUGAAGUUAUAUUAGUUUUCAGAAAUAUUUUGUGCCGUAUUGCUUUUUAUAGAUUCAUCAUGUUAAUGCAAAUAAUCAAGCCUAAAGGCCUGUGCCACUUUUCAAACGUUUUUGCAACUUAAUGAUACGUUGCUAUAUUUUGCAUGGACGUAGCUGGUGUUAAACACCACUGUCACCAAUGUCAAUUUACUCGCUCACAAGAUUACAUUAUUUAUGUAUACCUAUUUAUGUUUUACGUUUUUUUUAGGGUCAGCCCAGCAAACGGAGGCUUUUGUGCGCCUUAGGGUGGCGCACAAACAUUUGUUUGCCGGUGGAAGGGAUAGUGCCACUAUCCAAUGUUGUAAAAUUAAUGCACAACCGAUCAUUUGCAAUGUUUGUAAUUUUUAAUGAACGUAUAUAAUUGUAUUUUAUAUGAUAUACUUAUGUGUUCAAAGCACUGGUAGAUUGUAGGCAUAUAUGAAUGAAUGAAUCAGAUCAUAUAUCCAAAUAAAUACACGUUUAUCAUCUCUUUCUUUGUCUUUUUCCCCCUGCAUAAUAGUAAUCAACCGUACUGUAAAUGUGAUGCAUGAAUUAAGUUCUCAGACAAUUUCACUUAGUUUUAUAAAAAUUUAAUGGAUUUUCCUUUUAAUAAAGACAAUUCGAUCAACCACAACAAAGCUUUUGUGACUUCCCCAAAGAGGCUCCAUGCGAAGGAGACAUGACCGCAUUCAUAACAGACAAAAGUCAAAUAAAUAUCGAUCAGCUUGAUUGCUGCCAUGUUAUAUUCAUAAGCGCACAUGUGUUUACAAGCGGACACGCAGUAUUAAAAAGCGGAAGCGGAAGCGCUUCCACACUACCAAGUCGUUCCCAAAGUCAGACGUUACAAACGCUAGGAAGCACUCGAGCUAGCACUCUAGUCUCAUCUCCAUAGGACGCGACUAGCAAGGACGCGUCCUAGCAAGGCUGCAGCCUUCACUUUGGGAAACUACGGAGCCCCUCUGGUGACAUCUGGGAAAAAAAUAUAUAUCUGUUUGCCCGACUUAGUGAUCUGUUUGCAUGACUUGAUAAUCUGUGGCCACAAUUUAAUAAAUUGCGGGAACGAGAUAAUUCAUUUGUGGCCACAGUUUAAUAAUUUGUGGGAACAAGAUAAUUAUUUUGUGGCCACAGUUUAAUAAUUCGAGUGUGGCUGUGUUGUCUAUUGUCGCAGCAGGGGUUAGACGCAUGUCGGCUAUGGACAAGAUAUAAGAGAUAUCGUUCUAUUUUAACCUCGGAAUGAAUUACAAUGACAUGCUAAAGUCACUUGCUGUUAGGCAAGGAGUUAUUAUAAGUAAGAGGCACUUAAUUAGGCUGCUAAAAAUGCACGGGUACAGCCGAAGACAAUAUGAUGACCUCGGUGACGAGAUAGACUUUAUCAUGCAACAGCUGAAGGGAAAUGGAAACCUGCAUGGAUACAGAUGGAUGUACAGCAAAUGCAUGAAAUUAUUAAUUAUCAUUUGGCAUCCUUGCAAAUUAUAAUUAUAUCUGGCAUACCGAUUCAUAUGAUAAAUGAAAACCAUAUGGAAUCUGCAUCAAUGGUUGCAUAGACAGCUUUUCCCGUAAAAUAAUUUGACUUAAAGCGGCAUACACCAGCAGUGAUCCACAUGUCAUUGGAGGCUACUUUAUGGAGGCCUAGAGGAAUUCGGUGGCUUCUAAGGUCCGCCCCGACACUUGGUGCUGGUGUAGCUGUCAAAACGAGGUCCAUCCUCUAUCACGUCACCGAGGUCAUCAUAUUGUCUUCGGCUGUAGCCGUGCAUUUUUAGCAGCCUAAUUAAGUGCCUCUUACUUAUUAUAACCCCUUGCCUAACAGCAAGUGACUUUAGAAUGUUAUUGUAAUUCAUUCCGAGGUUAAAAUAGAACGACAUGCGUCUAACCCCUGCUGCAACAAUAGACAACCAAAACAUAGAACACAACAUAAGUAUCUCGUUCCCACGAAUUAUUAAACUGUGGCCACAAAUUAAUUAUCUUGUUCCCACAAAUUAUUAAACUGUGGCCACAAAUGAAUUAUCUUGUUCCCGCAAUUUAUUAAAUUGUGGCCACAGAUUAUCAAGUCAUGCAAACAGAUCACUAAGUCGGGCAAACAGAUAUAUUUUUUUUUCCCAGAUGUCACCAGAGGGGCUCCGUAGGAAACAGCCUGAGUGCGCAAUGAAUCUUGGGAGGGAUACGUUGGGCCGUGAAGGAUCUUGGGAUACGUUGGGCCGUGAAGGAUACAGCCGAUGCAUCCAUGGAUGCAUCCUUCAAAUCCGGGAAAAGAAGGCUCCAUUCGUAGGCCGCAUUUGAAGGACCCUUGGAAUUGGGACAGCACUUGGCGCGUCGCGGUGACGCAAUCUGCGUCGACGCAUCCUUCGAAUGCAGCCUUCGAAGGAUGCGUCCUAGGAAUUGGGACAUAGCAGAGCCCGUCUACGAAGAGCCUGGGCACUCCCUAUACGCCCCAUUGUACCGAUUUUGGUUGUAGUUCCAUGAGACAUCCACUGGGGGUGAUCGCGGGCGAGUCCAGAUUGAAUGGGAGUCUAUGGGGCUAAACGGCUAAUUAUGCCUCUUUCACCUGCUUGUCGUAGAAAUAUCGCAAAUUUUAUUGUAGAUUCCGCAAGUUCAAUAUAGAUUAUGGUUCAAAAGUCAAAUGAGUGAGUACUUAUGUCCUUUCGAUUUCUUACAGUUUGGGCCGUUGUUGGCCAUACACGCUAGCAUUCUGCUAAUGAAUGCUGAUUGGUCAGGGACGGACUUGCGACUGAUUACGACCAGAGACCCCUCUUACGGCAUCUGAAGCUGAAGAGCAAUCAGAAACGUGUUAACUCAAUUUUUGAGUAGGCCUACUGUAUUUAUAUUUUCCUGCAGUUCCUUUUAUUUUUUAGAUAGUAGCCUAUGUAUGGUGAAAGUACAUGGGCAUAAAUGGAAUUUCUUCCAUUUCUUGUGUUCAAUGUGUUAUAUACAUGGUAGGUACGCUAUGACCACCUUAAAUAAUACAGUCAAUAUCCCACUCAAUAUCAUUUAAUCUGUCAUUGUCUAUUUUUCGAAAAUAAAGAUAGUUUAAAAAAGAAAUGCCUCGUGAAUGUGCAAUGAUAAACUGCACUCACAGUGGAAACGGAUUGUCCGUCUUUUCGUUUACCAAGGACAGAAAAAGGUAACGUUCUUGCUUGCUCCUGUAUGAAUGUUCCUAGGCUACCUGAGGCUUCACCUGGUAAGGAAAGUUGCGCUGGAGCCCGGCCGGGUAAUAUCGCACAUGGCUUAUUCAAGUUGCGCGCUAGACAUUCUCUAAAGUGUCGAGACUCAAGCACUUAACUUACCUUAACCGAUUGUUCCAUAAAAAUGGUUAGUUAACGAUUUAACAACUUAAACAUCUGCUAUUACAGUCGUUAUUUUUUUGUAGGACUUGGGCUAAUGACCUUGCACAGAGGGAAAACCAUCUCCACCACUUGUCAUUGAUUUCUAUGCAUUCACUGAUCUUUACAGAUGGGUUUGUUUUAAGCCAUUGAAUAUACCUUAGGCCUAAUUGCUCUGCCAUGCAACACAUUAUAAGCUACACAUGUUUGUUAAAUGAGAAAUAUGGUCUGGGUCACAUUGAAACAGUAACAGUUGUAUAACAGUAAUUAUACAAACAUUAUACCAACAUUGCAACAGGCAAGUUUAUUCAAACAUCACACUAACAAGAACACAAUAAGAACAGUAACUAAUAAAAAAAAAGAGAAAUGAUUUAACAACACUGAACAUACUGAACAGAGGCAGGGGAAAAGGACAGAGGAAGAAGACUUGUCCGUUGUCACAGCAUCAAGGUCCGACUGUAGAGAUCAAGAAAGGAAGAGGCAUGAGGAGAACAACAGAACACUGCUCUCUAGCAGAUUGUUUACUGAUGUAAACUAAAUUGAUGCAGUCUUAAAAUUAUGAUUCUAAUCCAGGUUUCUAUUUUAGGAGAAAGAAAUGGCUCAUAAUCGUUACUAAAAAAAAAAGCUUUAUCAUCGGCACUAGUGAGGAUUAGAAAAAACACUCUGUAACAUACAUAUGUAAAACAUUCGCGCAUUUCUUUUUUUUACAUUAGCUCACUAAAACUCUAACUAGGGCAAAAAAAAAGCCUUACCUCCAACAGCUGGUGUUAUCGUUGCGGGACAAGGGAAGGGCUUUAGAAAACUGCCGUAAAGCAGUACCUCUGACCGUAUUACAGUGUGUGACGUCAUCGCAUGUUUUUAACGCCUUUUUAGAACAGAUACGUGACCUUAAAAAAUGCAAUAUUCAGCUGAGUUUAUUAUCUUAGCCCCACCCUUUGAUAGCAACUUUAAAAUUACUUGACAAAAAAUUACAUCGUGAGAAAAGUGGAUUCUGAGGAUAAAACCCCGUUGGCUCCCAUUCAUUCUGGACUCGCCUACGAGCGCCCCGCGUGGUCAAAGAUUAUUACUGCAACCAGUCCAGAAAACCGGAACUAACCCGCGAGUGCCAGUUCUCCUCAUAUAGGGAUGGCUAGUCACUACGUCAUCAUAUCAAAAAACGUCACUUCCGAGUCCACUCGUGUCCACUCGCUAACAUUCUAACAGUAAAAUGGUGCAGUGCUGUGUCCCGUGUUGCAAUAACCGCAAUGACGUCAACAAAACAAUCUCUUUUUACCGAUUUCCCCUCGAUGAAAAAGAGAAGAAGAGAUGGCUGAAGUUGAUACGGCGUGACAAGUUCACCCCGAACUACAACUCCAGGGUCUGUGGGUGGCAUUUUCCUGAUGGCAAAGCAGCUGGGCCAACACGGUUUGCAUGGAAUGACGGAAAGGCUUUCCCCGACCACAUCCCCACCAAACGUAAAAAAAGAAUGGUCCCUGCGAGCGUGGAGGAUGAAGGAACAGCUGGACCAGGCCCAAACCACCUUGGCAUUGCUCCACAGACCCCUGGUACUUCAAGUGUUGUGCUUGAAAUUGAGAAUGAUAUGCAAAAGAAAAUAACCAACUGAAACGAGAAUUGGAGAAACAAAAACAAACAUUUUCAUUCAGUCAAAUCUCCUCACACCCUGACAAAGUUAAAUACUACACUGGCUUGACAGAUGCUGCCACUGUCUUCUUUUUGGAAGCCCUUCUCUCCAAAUUUGAUCUCCAGUACCACUUUAAUUGGAAUGUCCAAAUUAUGCCCCUUAUCGAUCAGCUACUCCUGACUUUGAUGAAGCUCCGACUGAAUUGUGGCAUUCUAGACCUUGCAACAAGAUUUAAUUGCUGCCGUGCCACAGUCACCAACAUCUUCACCACAAUCAGCAGUGCACUGUAUGACAUUUUGUAUGUUGGCAUGAUGGAAAACAACAUCCCCUCGAGAUUCAAGAACCAACAUCCCUGCCAGAUUGCUUCCAGCCAUUCCCAGACUGUCGGAUUGUGCUUGACUGCACUGAAGUGGCCGUCUCCAAUACAGAAAGACUGGACACCCAGAGUCAUCUGUACAGUCAUUACAAAGGACGCACCACACUUAAAGCUCUGAUCGGUGUGGCUCCCAUUGGAGUUAUAACCUUCGCCAGUGACCUAUACGGUGGAAGUACCUCGGACAAGGCGAUAACAGCUGACUGCGGAGUACUCCAACAGCUAGAACCAGGUGACAUGGUAAUGGCAGAUUAGGGAUUCACUAUUCGUGACAUUUUGCCUGAGGGAGUGUCACUGAACAUCCCAACGUUCCUUGUCAAUGGACAGUUCACAGUGGAGGAAGUAAACCACAACAGACUCGUUGCCUGUGCAAGGAUUCAUGUAGAGCGUUCCAUACAACGUCUGAAAACAUUUGGCAUUUUGACCUACAUCCCGUACCAGCAUAAGAAGCAUGCCAACAAGAUCCUAAAAGUAUGUGUUAGUCUUGUGAAUUUACAGAAGCCCAUUCUUCAAGAAAUUGCAUGAAUAAAUGUCAUUGUUUUACUCGUGUCUAUCUCAUGUCUGUCACAUCAAAAUCAUUCAGUUUAAGCCACCAUCAGUUGGGAACUACUUGGACAUACACUUUGACAGGCUAGGUGCAAAACAAGCUGAACUAGCAGACAAAUUUGAGUCUUCACACAGUUGCUCCCACUCCCAGUCAGUUUAUUGUUAACACAAACAAUGUAACAAAACAAUAAUAUAGUGAAUGAAUAGUGAACAUGAAUGAGGCCUUACCCUUAAAAGGUCCCAUGACACGGCACCAGGUGUUGUGUGAUUAGCUUACAAGCUGUUUGGGAAAUCUGCCCCUUAUGACAUCACAUGUGGGCGUGUCCACCUAGAUGUGUGCUGGAUAGAUCAGUCUACCAGCCAACACAGUAGACUGCAGCAAACGUUGCUCAUCUAUCCGUCAUAAAUCUAGGUGGACACGCCCACCUGUGAUGUCAUAAGGGGCAGAUUUCCAAAACGGCUUGUAACGGCUAAUCACACCACACCUGAUGACAUGUCAUGGGACCUUUUAAAGAGACUAGGUGUAUCAGUGUAAAUGGCAUCUGACUAUGUGUAGUGUGUUAUGAACUGUGUGAUGAGAAUGUACAACAAAACAAAAGGAUAGAUACCUUGGUGGCCCGGCAAGCUGCAGAAGAAAGAAAUCCUUCACUAGAACAGGUCAUGAAUGCAGAAGUAUGCGAGGAAGGAAACAAUCCUUAUAAAAUGUUUCCAGAAUGUUAAUGUUGCUAGCCCAUGCUGGGUCUUUAGGGAUGAGCAGGAUAACAAGGUCAAGAGGAGUCCACACCACAAGAUGACAAUUGUUGGCAGGUGCAUUUUGACCAUGUAGCACACAGGGAUGUUUCCAGCACUAAUGGAGAGAAAGCUAGUCAAUACCGUACACCUGAAAUCAAUAGAGACUAUCUUUGUAUGUAUCACCAUAAGGCAUUCUUAGUUUGCCCAACUGUGGCUCUCACAAUGGCUUCUUUCUGACAGCAAGCGAUGAAAGCACAUACAGAGCUUUGUUCUCUGCAUGGCCAUAACCUGAGCUGGUCACUACCCCAUCAAAGGUCUUGAUAGGGACGGUCUAAGUAAAACAGACAAAUAUCAUGAAAUUAGACAGAAAAUGUUGGUUAAUGAUGUUCAGUAAGUCAUGGACCACAUAUGCUGUUUGGCAACACAGUACAAACAAAAUACAUUCAAAGUGUGAACAGUUUGAUGUCUGAUUUACAAUGGUUUAUAUCUAUGGGUAUGUAAACUUGAAUUGAUCAUCAGUUGAAAUGGAGUGUGGUGGGAUAACUCAAUCAAACUUAUCUAAUUUGUAACUGAUUUAAUGUAGUGUACUUGUCAUGUUUCUCAUAUACCAGGACGUGACAAAUCAAAAAUACAAAAAUCUUUUCAGCCCAAAUCAGCAGGGCUGCUACAUGGUGACACUAGCCGCGUUUACAUGGACACAUCUAUGCCGCAUACAUUUCUAUGCGGCAUAGAAAAUGGUCAUGUAUACGCCUCAUUCGGAAUACAAUUAUCUGUUCGGCAUAGAUUCUAUGCCGAAUAGAAUAGGUGGUGUAGUCCGUUUUAAAUCGCCAUGUAUACACUUAUUCCGCAUAGAUGGGGUUUAACUUAGAGCAGCCGCAGUAGUUCACUGAGCUCUGUCUGUACUUUUAAGCACACCGAACUUCACCGCUGUCAAGGAAAGUGGAUUUAUUGCCUGAUUCAAGUCUUUGUUAUCACUCCGUAAAAGUAGUCCGGUAAGCGUGUCCGGUUGCUAAGCGACGGGACAUGGGUGUUUAUUAAUGAGGUGUCCGCGCGCGUCCGAGAUAACUGUAAAUGAGUAGGCUACUACUAGUACUUUUGCAGGCUGAACGUUAAAAUACUUCUUAACUUAGAGAGAUGGCAGCUGCAGUAGUGCGCAAUUGGACCUUCGAGGAUUCCUGGUCACUAAAUUCCCGUAAGACCACUCUCUCCCAUCAGUCUUGGCUGCGGACUCGCAUUCAAAUUCCUCUUGUUUGCGGCGGAGCAUAGGGUAAAUAUAAAGAUCUGACGAGAAAUUGACGUUGCUGCGCUGUCCUCCUCCUUCUUAAUUGAAGGAGCAGGCAGAGAAAAGCUCUCUCCUGCUGUGCUUUCAUUAAAAUCAAAUUUAAAAUCCCUGAUAGUGAUAAGACAUCCAUUAUGUCCCCGCCGGUCCAGAGACGUGUCAGGUGUGCGCGAGAGACAUAACGGACACUUUUGUUACUGCCAUGUAUACAGUACAUUCGGAACACAUUUUAGGAACAGAUCUAUGCCGCAUAGAAAUCUAUGCGGCAUAGAUCUGCCAUGUAAACGCGGCUACUUGGCCCUCCCGAUAGCACAAGAGCAGGUACUUGCCUUCACCUCCUGUCCCUCAACGUGUACCUGAGUGAAAACAACUCAACUAGCUAACCCUCAUCAAACCCUAAGACAGCUAGACAGCUAAAGGACUAUCAGCAACGCACACCCUGUGUUUACAUUAGAUAGCUAUCGCUAGCUUCCAAUGCGAAAUUCACUAACCUGUCUAGCUAUGUUUUAAAGUUGUAUGUUAUGCUAUUACGCUGAAAACAACUAAUCUAGAUAACCCUCACCAAACCCCAACACGGAUAAAGGACAGCCCUGUGUUGACAUUAGCUAUCAACACCCUUACUUUCUCACCCCAACAUCGUAGCUUUUUUUUUUCAUUGACGCCUGGACGUUCCCUGUCAGACUUCCACCUGACAUUAGUACUGAUACUACCCGAUUCGAAUUGUAAGAGUUAAGACCCUUUUGGACAGACUUCGGGAUGUCGGUAAAGUACGCCGUCACUGUAUAGAACGUGACUGGUUCCUGUGCUGCUGUAGCCAUCGUUGUUAGCGAAUGGACACGGUUUAGCGAUUGGACACGGAAGUGGACGUCUGACGUCACACUAGCCAUCCCUAUUAGACAUUCUCUGGACAUAGAGAGAAACCCGGAAGUGUUCUUGAUGCGUUCUUACAUCGAUGGUGACUUGUGUGGACUUGGGACCGUUAAAUAUCCUAGGAUGCAUUUCGCAUUCCUGUUUUAAUGUAUCGGUGUGUAAGCUAUAAAAUAGGCUAUAUAGGAACAUUUUAAAAGUAUAACAAAGAUGGAGGCCUAUUCAACAUAUUUACAUACUAUUAUUUUAAAAUGAAAGGAGUUUUGUUUUAUAUAAUUUGUUUAUAUUGUAUAAGUCGCUGAUGGAGGAAACACAUCGCAACUGAAUUCCCGGUCGGAUCCAUCUGAUCGUGUGUGUGUGUGUUCUAUUCUCGCUCGUUCGUAAUUCUUAUCAAUAGCCAUACUCUCCAAUAAUAUAAUAGGCUAUAUAUGAAAGUUGAGAAACGACAAUCUUUUUCAAGCCACUGAUUGUUUAUAUGUAGGGUACAGCUGGCUUGCCGUGUGAAUACGCAUAACUUUUCAUUUAUAUUCAUUCAAAAUAUUAAUAUAGCCUACUAUUUUACAACUAAAGAAGCUGGUGUUUAUAAUUUGUUUAUAUUGUUCAGUAGUUAUAUCGUAGUCGAGUUGAGGGGGGAUGGCAUCCCCCUUAGGUAUUAAAAUGGUCAAAACCAUCCCCCUUAUGAAACGGCCAUCCCCCCUUCCCAUCCCCUGUUAUUUGAUAAAUUAAUGUUGAAAUAUUGCCACUAUUUAAUUUUUAAACAUUCUACAUUUUAUAUGUGCACGUCACGUGCCCCUCAUCCACAGUAUUUUAGCCGCUAAAAUACUGUGGACGAGGGGCUCGUGCACAUAUGUCACGUCAGUGAUAGCAGCGCAGCAGGUGAUUUCAGCAACAUGGCCAACCAUAAGCGACAAGGACAGCUUGAUCUGAGGGACUACUUCGGCUUUAAGAGGACAAAAAGUACCACCGAAGGUAAGUCAAGAAUACUUAUGAUAUGUCACCAAAGGUGUAAUCUCUGGACAGAGGCGAUAACAACACAGUUAAGGAUGUUAUGAUAAUGCGCUUACUUGUGCUCUGCGCUCAGUAAAGGUGUUCGUUACUUAGCAACGCAGGGCCGCUUGCCAAAGCUUCUGCUCCUGUUUUUUUGCUUUUCAUCUUCACCCUACAUUGGCCAGUAUAGUUGUUCAAUUGUACAUAGUUGUUCAAUCUUGAAGAUAGAUGGGGUGCAUUUUGAAUGUGUAUUCUUUUUUAAUCACGAUCAAACACUGACAGCCAAACUGCCGGACUUCGUGAACAUACCCUCAUUGUCAGGGCUCAGCUGACUCUGCGACGUAAUUGUCAGUUCAGCUUUUAGACUGUUAAAAUCUUCAAAACUUUGAGGCUAUCUGAUUACAGCCUAUAAGCCUAAUUUACAAUACAACCAAACAAACAAUUCUGAGGUAUAAAACAAUUGUGGGGAUGUCAAUGGUUUUAUAUAGGACUAGCCUAGUCAUGUCUCAACUUAAAUCACCGCCUGAAUUUUAUUACAAUAUUCUAUAAAACCCGUACAAAAACAGCCUAAAAUAUUGGCAUCGGAACUAGACUGUUUUUUUUUUGUGUAACAUUUAACAGUUCAAACAGAUAUAGUUUGGAGCUUACGUUUUUUUUCUUGUUAACUAGCCUUACGCCAGGCAGCUAGCUGCUAGUAGCCAACGUCAGGUUAGACUUUUCAUACAUUCAUAAAGUUAAUGUCAGAUUUGAUUUCUUCAAACUGCGUUCGCAUCUGUGUAGCGCGAACGACAGAGAGGGAGAGGGACCUAGAGACUGUGCGUGUGUGAGGCAGUGUGCGUGUGUGCUUCAGGAGCAUCCUGAUUGGCCGGUUUCGGUAAAUCAACCAAUCAAUUUUCAGUGUGGGCGGGCUUUUAUCUCUUCUCCCGAAACAAAUUAAUCAGUUCAGUGUACAGGGGCACUGUCACACUAAAUUUGUACCGGGGGCGAAAUUUGUACCGGGCGCGUCAUCAUUACGUAAUCCAUUACAAACCUGCCCUGCAACAGAUGAUCGCGUCGUCCGUUGCCGGGAAGGUUUCAAGAAACAUUCGCGCUCAUGUUGCCAAAGACGAAAUAACAUAAUACAGUUAACGGAUCGCUAGAUAAUGUAAUGUUUUGUUGGGUUCCUUAAUAAACACACGAUGUAUCUUGGAACAGACAUCAACAUGCAGCGCGCCAAUCCAACUGCACAUGCUCCGUGUGACGGUCUAAUAACUGAUGUUGAUAUCAUUACAGAUAACACUUGUUUUUACUUUAUAUUUGUAUUGUAUCUAAUUGUUUAAUCAAAUUUAGCAAGUAAACUGAGUGUUUAAAGCAGGUCAAGGACGAAAUAGCACAAUACAGAUAACGGAUCGCUAGAUAGAAGGUUCGCGAAUGUUCACGUCAUUCGACGCGAUCGUCCGUUGCCAGGCAACGGACGAAGCGAUCAUCUGUUGCCAGGCAGAUUUGGAGUGGAUUACGUAUGGAUGACGCGCCCGGUACAAAUUUCGCCCCCGGUACAAAUUUAGUGUGACAGCACCAUGGCACAGGGAGAGUGCCCCCAAAAAAGAAAGACAUUUUAAAGUUGCAAUGGAAUACAAAUAAAAGCAGUUAACAUAAACAGGAUAGUAGUAGCAGCAUAUAAUAAAUAGUAAAAGCAGGGGUUUUUCUAGAAAAAAUUCACAAGGGGGAAAACGGAAAAAACGGUGCGGAGCUUUUGAAAAUUUGCAAGACAAUCCUUGCUUUUCUUCACCCCGCGGCACGACAUUUUAAAAACACUGUAAACUAAGUCACCAAACGCUAUAUUUUCUUUCUUCUCAGACACUCUCAGAUUCACUGAACUGAUACAUUUGGUUCGGGAGAAGAGAUAAAAGCCCGCCUACACUGUAAACUGAUUGGUUGACUUACCGAUCCCGGCCAAUCAGGAGGCGCUGUCACGUUAAAAUUGUACCGGGGGCGAAAAUUGUACCGGCCUACGUCAUCAGUUGUUUACAUCUUGACAACCUGUCUGGCAACAGACGACGCGAUCGUCUGUUGCCGGGCAGGUUGCAAAAAACAUUCGGCUCAUGUUUCCAAAAGACGAAAUAACAUAAUACAGAUAACGGAUCGCUAGAUAA